rnacentral:rRNA from 1 species
UACGUAGGGGGCUAGCGUUGUCCGGAAUCAUUGGGCGUAAAGCGCGUGUAGGCGGUUCGGUAAGUCCGCUGUGAAAGUCGGGGGCUCAACCCUCGAAUGCCGGUGGAUACUGUCGGACUAGAGUACGGAAGAGGCGAGUGGAAUUCCUGGUGUAGCGGUGAAAUGCGCAGAUAUCAGGAGGAACACCGGUGGCGAAGGCGGGUCUCUGGGCAGUUACUGACGCUGAGGAGCGAAAGCGUGGGGAGCGAACAGG